GUGAUGGCUUCAGCAACACAUAUACUAAAAUUGGAAUGUUACAGAGAAGAUUAUCAUGGGCCCUGCACAAGGAUGACAUGCAAAUUCGUGAAGCAUUCCAUAUUCAA
rnacentral:snRNA from 1 species